rnacentral:misc_RNA from 1 species
AGUCGUAACAAGGUAUCCGUAGGUGAACCUGCGGAUGGAUCAUUAAAGAUGUUUAUUAAUUGGUAGUGUGAACUGUUUAUGUUAGUUGACAGAAAGUGCGUUUGCAUCAUGUUGUAGUACUAAGGUGUGUGUCUUAGUACUAUGGUACCUGGUAGUCUAAAGGUUUGUUUACCAAACGAAAGACUACUUGACUCGAUGCACUAUGCCUUGUCAGAUAGUACCUCUAGUCUAAAAUUUGUUUACCAAACAAAAGACUAGACGCAACAUUAACAAACAUGUGUCAACUUGUAUACUUUACUACUAUAUUUCAAGUGUUAUUGUACACAAACAAAAGUUAUACAACUUUUAGCAAUGGAUCUCUUGGCUCUC